UACGAAGGGGGCUAGCGUUGUUCGGAAUCACUGGGCGUAAAGGGUGCGUAGGCGGAUUCUUAAGUCAGGGGUGAAAUCCCGAGGCUCAACCUCGGAACUGCCUUUGAUACUGGGGAUCUUGAGUCCGGAAGAGGUGAGUGGAACUGCGAGUGUAGAGGUGAAAUUCGUAGAUAUUCGCAAGAACACCAGUGGCGAAGGCGGCUCACUGGUCCGGAACUGACGCUGAGGCACGACAGCGUGGGGAG
rnacentral:rRNA from 1 species